rnacentral:rRNA from 1 species
GACGAACGCUGGCGGCGUGCUUAACACAUGCAAGUCGAACGAAAAGGCCCUGCUUUUGUGGGGUGCUCGUGUGGCGAACGGGUGAGUAACACGUGAGUAACCUGCCCUUGUCUUUGGGAUAACUUCAGGAAACUGGGGCUAAUACCGGAUAGGAGCUCCUGCUGCAUGGUGGGGGUUGGAAAGUUUCGGCGGUUGGGGAUGGACUCGCGGCUUAUCAGCUUGUUGGUGGGGUAGUGGCUUACCAAGGCUUUGACGGAUAGCCGGCCUGAGAGGGUGACCGGCCACAUUGGGACUGAGAUACGGCCCAGACUGCUACGUGAGGCAGCAGUCGGGAAUAUUGCACAAUGGGCGGAAGUCUGAUGCAGCAACGCCGCGUGCGGGAUGACGGCCUUCGAGGUGUAAACCGCUUUCGCCGGUGACGAAGAGUGAGUGACGGUACUGAAUAAAGAAGCACCGGCUAACUACGUG